rnacentral:rRNA from 1 species
UGGGGAAUUUUGGACAAUGGGCGAAAGCCUGAUCCAGCAAUGCCGCGUGUGUGAAGAAGGCCUUCGGGUUGUAAAGCACUUUUGUCCGGAAAGAAAUCCUUGGCUCUAAUACAGUCGGGGGAUGACGGUACCGGAAGAAUAAGCACCGGCUAACUACGUGCCAGCAGCCGCGGUAAUACGUAGGGUGCAAGCGUUAAUCGGAAUUACUGGGCGUAAAGCGUGCGCAGGCGGUUUGCUAAGACCGAUGUGAAAUCCCCGGGCUCAACCUGGGAACUGCAUUGGUGACUGGCAGGCUAGAGUAUGGCAGAGGGGGGUAGAAUUCCACGUGUAGCAGUGAAAUGCGUAGAGAUGUGGAGGAAUACCGAUGGCGAAGGCAGCCCCCUGGGCCAAUACUGACGCUCAUGCACGAAAGCGUGGGGAGCAAACAGGAUUAGAUACCCUGGGUAGUCCACGCCCUAAACGAUGUCAACUAGUUGUUGGGGAUUCAUUUCCUUAGUAACGUAGCUAACGCGUGAAGUUGACCGCCUGGGGAGUACGGUCGCAAGAUUAAAACUUAAAUGAAUUGACGGGGUCAUAGCUGUUUCCU